CCUUCGCCACGCCCGCCUCAGAACUACAAAGGAAGUUGACGGGGGCCCGCACAAGCGGUGGAGUAUGUGGUUUAAUUCGAUGCAACGCGAAGAACCUUACCUGGUCUUGACAUCCCGGAGACCCUUAGGAAACUAGGGGGUGCUUCCAUCUGGAAGAAUCUGGAGACAGGUGCUGCAUGGCUGUCGUCAGCUCGUGUCGUGAGAUGUUGGGUUAAGUCCCGCAACGAGCGCAACCCUUGCCUUUAGUUGCCAGCAGUUCGGCUGGGCACUCUAAAGGGACUGCCGGUGUUAAACCGGAGGAAGGUGGGGAUGACGUCAAGUCCUCAUGGCCUUUAUGACCAGGGCUACACACGUACUACAAUGGCCGAUACAAAGGGCAGCGACACUGCGAGGUGAAGCCAAUCCCGUAAAAUCGGUCUCAGUCCGGAUUGGAGUCUGCAACUCGACUCCAUGAAGUUGGAAUCGCUAGUAAUCGUGGAUCAGCAUGCCACGGUGAAUACGUUCCCGGGCCUU
rnacentral:rRNA from 1 species